rnacentral:lncRNA from 1 species
UCUGUUCGAGAGUUUUUGAUUCGGUCCUUUGCUCUAUGUCUUUUCUUCCUUUUAUACUCCCUGGAUGAUCUCUUUGUGAUCAACCGCCUAAAAACUGUUUGAUCGUUCUACAACAGCCCACUUUCCUCGUAAUGUCCAACUUAUCAUGGAACUGCCUUUUUUAACUGCUGCCAUUACUCUUCGUCGUUCAACCGUUUUCGAUUGAAUUCCUUGAAUCGUGGAACGUGAUAGGGCUGCUUUAAUAACUGCUUUGAUAACUGCACUUCUUGAUAACCACCACACUUUAUGUUUGCUAAGACCUUGGGCGACUCGAAG